rnacentral:rRNA from 1 species
AGUGAACGCUGGCGGUAGGCCUAACACAUGCAAGUCGAACGGUAGCACAGGAGAGCUUGCUCUCUGGGUGGCGAGUGGCGGACGGGUGAGGAAUACAUCGGAAUCUACUCUGUCGUGGGGGAUAACGUAGGGAAACUUACGCUAAUACCGCAUACGACCUACGGGUGAAAGCAGGGGACCUUCGGGCCUUGCGCGAUUGAAUGAGCCGAUGUCGGAUUAGCUGGUUGGCGGGGUAAAGGCCCACCAAGGCGACGAUCCGUAGCUGGUCUGAGAGGAUGAUCAGCCACACUGGAACUGAGACACGGUCCAGACUCCUACGGGAGGCAGCAGUGGGGAAUAUUGGACAAUGGGCGCAAGCCUGAUCCAGCCAUACCACGUGGGUGAAGAAGGCCUUCGGGUUGUAAAGCCCUUUUGUUGGGAAAGAAAUCCAGCUGGCUAAUACCCGGUUGGGAUGACGGUACCCAAAGAAUAAGCACCGGCUAACUUCGUGCCAGCAGCCGCCGUAA